rnacentral:rRNA from 1 species
GAUGAACGCUGGCGGCGUGCCUAAUACAUGCAAGUCGAGCGAACGGACGAGAAGCUUGCUUCUCUGAUGUUAGCGGCGGACGGGUGAGUAACACGUGGAUAACCUACCUAUAAGACUGGGAUAACUUCGGGAAACCGGAGCUAAUACCGGAUGAUAUUUUGAACCGCAUGGUUCAAAAGUGAAAGACGGUCUUGCUGUCACUUAUAGAUGGAUCCGCGCUGCAUUAGCUAGUUGGUAAGGUAACGGCUUACCAAGGCAACGAUGCAUAGCCGACCUGAGAGGGUGAUCGGCCACACUGGAACUGAGACACGGUCCAGACUCCUACGGGAGGCAGCAGUAGGGAAUCUUCCGCAAUGGGCGAAAGCCUGACGGAGCAACGCCGCGUGAGUGAUGAAGGUCUUCGGAUCGUAAAGCUCUGUUAUUAGGGAAGAACAUAUGUGUAAGUAACUGUGCACAUUUUGACGGUACCUAAUCAGAAAGCCACGGCUAACUACGUG